CCUACGGGAGGCAGCAGUGAGGAAUAUUGGUCAAUGGACGAGAGUCUGAACCAGCCAAGUAGCGUGAAGGAUGACUGCCCUCUGGGUUGUAAACUUCUUUUAUAUGGGAGUAAAAUGUUCCACGUGUGGGAUUUUGUAUGUACCAUAUGAAUAAGGAUCGGCUAACUCCGUGCCAGCAGCCGCGGUAAUACGGAGGAUCCGAGCGUUAUCCGGAUUUAUUGGGUUUAAAGGGCGCGUAGGUGGAUUGUUAAGUCAGUUGUGAAAGUUUGCGGCUCAACCGUAAAAUUGCAGUUGAAACUGGCAGUCUUGAGUACAGUAGAGGUGGGCGGAAUUCGUGGUGUAGCGGUGAAAUGCUUAGAUAUCACGAAGAACUCCGAUGGCGAAGGCAGUUCACUGGACUGCAACUGACACUGAGGCUCGAAAGUGUGGGUAUCAAACAGGAUUAGAUACCCUUGUAGUC
rnacentral:rRNA from 1 species